rnacentral:snRNA from 1 species
GUGCUAUGGCUCUGGCUGUGACAUCUGUCACCCCAUUGAUGGCCAAAGUUGAUUCGGCUGAUCUGGCUAAGUAGGCAGACGUCCCCUUCCUCCCUCACCGCUCCAUGUGUGUCUCUCCUGAAGCUUCGAGGACGGCCUUCCCCAAAUAGAGACAGACCAGUCUUCAGUGAAGGUAUAUGAGCAGCUGCGCUCCCCUGCUAGAACCUCCAAACAAGUUCUCAAAAUAUGAAGUAGGUACAAUUUACCACACCUCACCUCUCACCAAAGCCAAUAAAUUGCCCGAACAACUCAUUGCUUAUUUCAUUG